GAUGAACGCUGGCGGUGUGCCUAAUACAUGCAAGUCGUACGCAUUCUCGUUUCUGAUUGACGGUGCUUGCACCUAAUUGACGAGACAUUGGAAUGAGUGGCGGACGGGUGAGUGACACGUGGGUAACCUGCCCAGAAGUGGGGGAUAACAUUUGGAAACAGAUGCUAAUACCGCAUAAAAGUCAAAACCACAUGGUUUUGAUUUAAAAGAUGGCCUUUGUGCUAUCACUUAUGGAGGGACCCGCGGCGUAUUAGCUAGUUGGUAAGGUAACGGCUUACCAAGGCAAUGAUACGUAGCCGAACUGAGAGGUUGAUCGGCCACAAUGGGACUGAGACACGGCCCAUACUCCUACGGGAGGCAGCAGUAGGGAAUCUUCCACAAUGGGCGCAAGCCUGAUGGAGCAACACCGCGUGAGUGAAGAAGGGUUGCGGCUCGUAAAACUCUGUUGUUAAAGAAGAACGUAUCUAAGAGUAACUGCUUAGGUAGUGACGGUAUUUAACCAGAAAGCCACGGCUAACUACGUGCCAGCAGCCGCCGUAA
rnacentral:rRNA from 1 species